rnacentral:rRNA from 1 species
UACGUAGGGUGCAAGCGUUUGUCCGGAAUUAUUGGGCGUAAAGAGCUCGUAGGCGGUUUGUCGCGUCUGCUGUGAAAACCCGAGGCUCAACCUCGGGCCUGCAGUGGGUACGGGCAGACUAGAGUGCGGUAGGGGAGAUUGGAAUUCCUGGUGUAGCGGUGGAAUGCGCAGAUAUCAGGAGGAACACCGAUGGCGAAGGCAGGUCUCUGGGCAUUAACUGACGCUGAGGAGCGAAAGCAUGGGGAGCGAACAGG